CAAUAGCGUAUAUUUAAGUUGUUGCAGUUAAAAAGCUCGUAGUUGGAUUUCGGGUGGGACGCAGCGGUCUCGCAUUGCGUUUGUACUGCUGCAGCCCUCCUUCUUGCCGGGGGCGGCCUCUCGGACUUCACUGUCUGGGGGUCAGAAUCGGCGAUGUUACUUUGAGUAAAUUAGAGUUUUCAAAGCAAGCUUACGCUCUGAAUAUAAUAGCAUGGGAUAACACGACAGGACUCUGGCCUAUCGUGUUGGUCUAUAGGACCAGAGUAAUGAUUAAGAGGGACAGUCGGGGGCAUUCGUAUUCCGUUGUCAGAGGUGAAAUUCUUGGAUUUACGGAAGACGAACAUCUGCGAAAGCAUUUGCCAAGGAUGUUUUCAUUGA
rnacentral:rRNA from 1 species